GAUGAACGCUGGCGGCGUGCCUAAUACAUGCAAGUCGAGCGAACAGACGAGGAGCUUGCUCCUCUGACGUUAGCGGCGGACGGGUGAGUAACACGUGGAUAACCUACCUAUAAGACUGGGAUAACUUCGGGAAACCGGAGCUAAUACCGGAUAAUAUAUUGAACCGCAUGGUUCAAUAGUGAAAGACGGUUUUGCCGUCACUUAUAGAUGGAUCCGCGCCGCAUUAGCUAGUUGGUAAGGUAGCGGCUUACCAAGGCAACGAUGCGUAGCCGACCUGAGAGGGUGAUCGGCCACACUGGAACUGAGACACGGUCCAGACUCCUACGGGAGGCAGCAGUAGGGAAUCUUCCGCAAUGGGCGAAAGCCUGACGGAGCAACGCCGCGUGAGUGAUGAAGGUCUUCGGAUCGUAAAACUCUGUUAUUAGGGAAGAACAAAUGUGUAAGUAACUAUGCACGUCUUGACGGUACCUAAUCAGAAAGCCACGGCUAACUACGUG
rnacentral:rRNA from 1 species